ACCGAGUGGACGCGCUGUGAGUGAGGGAGGGACGGCGGAGCUGAAAGGUGUAUCCUGUCUUCCACCCAACGACUAUGGGGAUAGUUGUAGUUCCAGUUGUUUCUAUGUACCUGCAUAAUGCAAGUACAUGUGAAAGAGACUCUGCCGGAGAGUCCGAAAUUCAGCACAACAGCAACAGGGACAACAUCAGAAGAGAAAGACUUACAAGUCUGAAAGAGGACCGAGGUUAUGUGACUUUUGGGAUCCAGAAAAACUACAGAACUCCAUGAGACAGGGAUGACACAGGCAAAGUCUUCUUCCGUCUCUGCCAUGAUGUUCAUGCUGGAAAAAACAAGCUAGCUUCUUCUAGCUACCUGCAGAUUGUUGUUGGAGUUACGCAGUUCUCGGGAGAGGUCUCCUGUCUGCUCCUCCAAAGGUACAUAGCACUGUAGCAGGCGUGCCAGCCUGGAGUGCCAAUGACAGAGAUGCCAUUCUCCCUAUUAUAAGUCAGUGUCCCAUCAAAAUGAUUUUGAAGUUGUUAUUUGAAGGUAAAAUUGCAACAUAAUGUUGCUUUAAUCUAAUGAAGUUCUUUUAAUUUAUGCCAAUAUGUUAGAAAAGGGGGAAUAUUAUUCAAGUUAACACAACUAGUUAAAGAGUAAGCAGAACUUGAAAGAUUAGAGUACUGCCAGCUCAAUAGAAACCCUUUUAUCAGGGUGUUUGAGUUAGCCUUACUGGGAGCAGUAGUGUGGAUCACUGAAAAGUAGGAAAUAUAAUCCCUAUAUAAAGUUGUUUAAGUUCGAACCUGUUAAGUAACUUUGCUAAAUUCUUUUAAGGCAAUACAUUUGCAUGACUUUUUGGCAAGUCCACUAAUUCAAGCUUGCCAUUUGGGAAGGCUGUACACCAGAAGUUGGAACAUUGCUGUGAGGGUUUGAUUGCAUUCAGACACAAGAGCAUUAGUGAGGUCCCUCAUCCACCGACCCAUCCCAUAGGUACUACAUGGAGCUCCAUCAGUUCAGAGCAGUGUUUCCCAGCCCUAGAGACACACAGCCCUGCAUAUUUAGUGCCUUUCCUGUGUUAACACACUCACUUCAACUCACUACGGGGCUGUUAAUGAACGGAGUAGUUGGAUCAAGUGUGUGGGGAACAGAGAAGACAAUAGCUGCGUUCACAUACUACAACACUGCACAUACUACAUUAAUGAGUGGACUUGGGUGGUGUAGUAUUUUUGACAUAUUGUUUUGUAUGUGGUUUUGGAAAUGUUCAGGGCAGGGUGCCUCCAGGACCAUGCUUUGGAAACACUGCUCUAGAGAAAAAUUCCACUGCUCCACAGCCCAGUGCCCCUCUACUUGAUGCGUGGUAUUGGGUUUUGUGACCUUAGGCUCAUAUGGCUACUCCAGAGGGUCUCUUCCUUUUGGCAGUACUCUUCUACAGAGCUUGUACACAAGCUAUGUACAACCCCAAUUCCAAUGAAGUUGGGACGUUGUGUAAAACAUAAAUAAAAACAGAAUACGAUGAUUUGCAAAUCCUUUUCAACCUAUAUUCAAUUGAAUACACUACAAAGACAAGAUAGUUUAUUUAUGUUUUACACAACGUCCCAACUUCAUUGGAAUUGGGGUUGUAUGUGUUUUACACAAUGAGUAAUAUACUCAGCUAGAACACAUCCUCACUGAUACAUUCGGAAAUACAUCAUAGUACAGAAGGAAAGUGGAUUAUGAUUUCUAGUUCAUCUCGACUUUAAAGUAGCUGAAUUCAUUCAAUUAUUGUCUGGACAUUUUUGUACAUGUAGUCGACCUCUGGCUUUCUCUCCUGGUACAAUGAAGAAACUGAUGCUCUAAAUUUAUUUGAUUCAAAUGCAUCCAUUUCACAUAAAUUUUACAUGAAGAAAAUUUAUUACACCUUCUAAAAUAUUGCCAAAUUAAAGUAGCUUGAAGGACAAAGUUGGGCUGAUGUAACAUUUUAUUCUCUUACAAUUGUUGUGCAAAAUUCAGUGAAGUAAAUUCAAUUGGUCACUUUUUUAGUGUACCAAUGCCAGUACUAAUAGUUUUUACAAUCUUUAUGUUCACAUAGAAAUGAUCUUUACAGUGAUCAGUAAUCACAAAUGAUUACAAAUGUAUUCAUUUCUACAGCAAAAACUGGUAUUGGUAAAAAACAAAACAACAAAAAAAAAAAAACACUUAAAUCUUUUUUCCACUUUGCAUUCAUCAACUUAUUCCUGUUAUUUGUGCUCUUAUGUAAAUUUCAAGAAAUUACAGGCGUUAUAUAAAAAAGCAAAUUUUAGCUCUGCCAGUAAAUACCAGAGUAUGUUCCCAUGGCUGUGAGUAUAAAGCUUCUUAUGAAAUUACUUAUGCAGAGAGUGUUAAUAAUGUCAGAUUUUGCACGUUUCAUGCCCCUGUCAGACACAGAGGUUCGGUGUGAGCUGUAUGAGCUUAUUAGUGUGCUAAGGUACCUGUUUGUGUUCAUUACCAAGAGAAAAGACAGAAAUUAGAAAAUCAUUGUGGUGUAUGUAUUGUGGUCAGUGCCCAAAUGCUCAAAGAAAUGACCUUUAAGGGAGUAGGCUGGCCAAAACAAAAUCUAAUUUGCACAGAAUUCCCCUUGUAGCUAGACAGCCAAGCCAUGUGGCCAAAUUGCAAAUGCUGCAGAAAUGGACAAAAGAAGGUGGCAUAGACAACACAAGACAUGAGAGUCUAACUGAGAGUCAAAAAGACUGAAAAGACCAUAGCAGAAAGGUUCCUUAGACCAACAUUUCAAACAAAAUUCAGAGAGGUUUAAAUAGCCUGUAACCCUAUAAAGAGGGAAAAAGACGUUCAGGUGUGAACGGUGUUGAACCCUUUAGGUGUUCUAGGAGGGGAACAUGACAGCACAGCUUAAAAUAAUAAAAGCAGCCGCAGGCCUGGCUAUAGGGGUUUAUUUGAUUAGGCAAUACCCCACCAACCGAUCAUCAUGCCCCACAUAACCUAUUAUUUUGUGCAUGUAAAUACGUCACUUUGUGCUGACUGCAUUUUAGGGAUACAUUGUAUGUUGUGGGAACAUAAAUUGGCAAACAACCUUGUUGAUUCUCUCCUGAAAUGUGUCGCUGCUUUGGAAGAGGCAGCGAUGACCCUACCUAUACACAUGUAGUAUAGAUUUGUCACCCCAAAUGUACUUCUGGCACUUGUAUGUCAUCUGGAAAAAAGUCAUAAACAGGCCUUCUAAAAUCACUCAUGUCCCCUGAUGUUUUUGGAUGCCUGUGUUUGGUUGUGGUCAAUUGUAUCACUCCUAUAUGCUCAUCCUGUUUAUUAGAAUAGUCAUUCUGUCUUUAAGGGCCUGGUCCUUUUGGGUCAUCUUAGAAUUUCUAUGCUUCUCUAUCACGUAGAAAUAAAAGUAGACAUCUGAAAGUUCUCCUAAGCUUUAUCAACUCUGGAGGUUA